GUGAAUCGUUGGUGCUCAUUGUUGUGCUGCUCUUCGCUGGAGUAUUGAGUGCAGACUAACACAGGCAUCAACUCAGGACCCAGGAAGGACAUUCUCCUCAAUGGAGGGCAAAGGGAACAGCCCAGCCACGCUUCUCUCCCCCAAACAUGGGCACCACCACUUGCCAAGCUAGCCUGUUAGCUGAAGCAAGGAGUUUUCCAGGGAUUGUGGCUUCUUCUUCUCCUGGAACUGUUCAGCUUUGCUCCAGUCCAGAACCCCAUCACCAGGAGGCCCCACACCGCAGCCUGGAGGACCCACGCCACACCCAGCUCCGGAGAGAGCAGAGCCACACCUACAGAAAGGACUCUGAAUCUACCAGGUCUUCUCCACAGCGAGAGUUUUUAUUAUUUAACAUUAUUCAUUCUUUUUUGUGCCUGCAUGCACCCUGCUUGUUAAAUAAACAGCUUUUUUCAUUUUCCUCCAAGAAAUUUUUUUCUGAACCUGGUGGGGGUGGGGCUGCAGAAACCUACGUUCUAUUGGAGGGAUGUUUCCUCCUAAUUUGUUUCAAACCAAGACAACAUCUCAGCAGCAAGAGGCAUUACCUGGAUGCUAAUUAUCUGUGGUCAUUAAAAAUCCCUUUUUAACUUUGUUGAGAAAAACAAUGGUCCGUCCAGCACCCUGCAGUUGUGCUUCCCUUGGUGGCAUGCUUCUUUUGGCUGAAGGAUUUUCAGAGGUGUUAAAAAUUGUUAUACACCCAGCACUCACACAGAUUUCCUGGAUGAUGUGUACCAGAAUAUUACAUUUGGAAUAUUUGGAAAUCCUGGCCAGGAUCUUUUCUCGUUUCCUCUGCUCUGCAGUGCUGCAGUAAACAUUCCCAGCUGCAUCCCUGGAUGUGGUCACAGAAAUCCCUCUCCUCUUUGCUGACAUAUGGAAUGGAUAGCUAACAGCUUUAUUGACAUUUCUGUAAAGGGUGCAACUGUCAUAACAAAAAGAUACCCAGGCAUCCAAUUUAGCUACAAAUUUACCUCUGUCAUACUGACCCUAGACCUGCAAUUCUGAAAUGUACUGUCAUAACCAAUACCAGAUUUUUGCUGUAUGGAUACUAACAACUUCAUAUAUUCCCACAUGCUCUUUGUCAUCCUUUUUGUGUCUUCCUUUUCUGGUAUAGCACAUUUUGAGUAUGAAGUGAUACAGCCAACCAGUAAUAAAGCACUCGGAUGGCUUCUGUAUCAGUGAUCAAGAAAAUAGUGUCAAAAUUGGGGAUUAAGGAGGGGAGCUGAAAGAGAGGAGGCUUUAAAUUUCAUGUAAUGAUGUCUAAUAAUACAUUGUCAGAAGAUGAAGUAACAUCAUCUACAUCUGGAUGAGAAAAGAAAAUAGUCAUAAUUCCAUUUUCACAUCCAAAGUGACAAAUGGUGUUUAUCCUAUCUGGAAAAAAUGUUAUUCUUAAUUGUAAUACUGUCACUGCUGCCAGCUCUCACAGAUUCAGUAUGUGGCUUAUGACAAAUGGUGUCUUUUCAAGCCCUGGUUUGAUUAUAUAGGAAUCUCAACAAUGCUUUUCUUUUAAGCUUGAAAGUAUCUCUUAGAGCAGAACCUGAAGAUUGAAGACUGAAAGACAGAGAAUUCACUAUAUAUUGAUGUUUUAAAAUCUCAUAAUUUUUAAGGAAGUGUGAUCAUUUCUUCUUAUUUUUCAGUUUUCCAAGUUAGUAAUACCACACUCUGGAAAAGGAAAGUAUAAUAUACACAGGUAGACGGACACACAUUUGUUGCCACAGUGUCUCUCUGCAGAAAAUCGCAUUUAUCAAUGCAAGCCUUGUAUUUUUAUACACAUAUCAAAUGCUCAUAUAUAUAGAAGGUGGAGGAAUAUGUAAUUAUACUUCUGUUUGUUUACCUGAUUACAUUUCCUAGACUCAUCUGGGAAGAUACAUGCAUAAUACCCUGAAGAUUAUCCAUACCAUAAGAUCACAAGGAGAAACUUUCUGGGAGAAAUCUAAUAAUGUGAUUAAAAAAAACCCCCAACAAACCAAACCUGAAAAAAACCCAGCUAUAUUUUAUUAGACACUAGAUUUUUCACAUUAAGAAACAGCAAAACUAGAAAGGAAGAAAACUUGCAUGAGAUAAUUUCCUGCAGUUGAAAAUUGGUGGGAAUAUGCAGGUAAAUCCAAUGCUUAGCUGAAAGCAAUUGGUGCACAUAUUUUGACAUAUAUUUUUUUAUUGGGCAUCAAAGAGCAUUAAAAAGGGGAACUGCCCAUGUCAUAGUUUCCUGAAAGUGCUGGGCACUCAUUCACAUGCAGAGGAGCAGUGCUUCUUACCUAGUGAGCCAUCACUUACUGUGACUGUGCAACACUUUUCAGAAACAAGGAGACAAUGCAUGAGCAGGAGAGAAUCUUUCUGUCCCCCAGACAGCAACAGCCAGCUUUGUCACAGUCAGCUUUAGGGAAUGCUGUUGUAGAAUGCAGGAAUGUCUGACUGUGGGGUUUUGACUUGAAAUAGAUCUUGGUCCAGUCUGAAUAAACAUUUUAAUGCUUGGCCACAGAAGGAUGUUGUCAAGAGGAUGGUUUCACACACUGGAAUUAGAAUAUUUCUUGUAAACAUUAGCACAACUUAGUUCCUUUGAACGUGGAGGUGCCUUGCCACAGGGGAACACAGAAUUUAUGGUCAUGCUGGCACUCUUCCUCUGGCAAACAGAACACCAAAAGCAAUAAACUUAGGACAAUGAAGCCAGGCAGAGGGGAGGUGAGCUAUGGGAGCACCUGGGGGGUACUGUGGCUCCAGGCUGGGGCUGGGAAGGUCGCUGUUGAGAUGGUGCUAAUUUCCAUCUGUACAGAGCUUUGAGAUCCUUGCUUGGACCAUGCUGUGGAAGCAUGACACUUUGUAGAUAACAGUGCCCUGAGUGGAAAAUUCGGCAGGAGCCUGGCCAGAGGAAGCCUUUGGAGUCACUGAAGGAGUCCCUCAAACAUGCUGCCUGGUGCUCAGCAGCAGGGAGUGUGUGAGUGAGCGCUCAGUGGCUCAGCCCCUGUGUGCUGGCAGACUGCAAGGGUGGGUAUUCAUUUGGGCCGUCCCAAAUCUUCUGGGGUUAAAAGGACCCAAAUUAUCAAGACGACAGAUUAUUUAAAGUGAGUGUCAUACAUGAAAUCCCUAUUUGUGCUUGGUCUUUGCAUAUUAAGUGCUUUAAUUAAUUAAUUUUUAGUUAAAUAUUUUUAGAUUAAAUCUUAAAAUUAACCCAUCAGCCCAGGUACAAAAAUCUAGUUCCAUUAUCAGUGUUUUCAAUUGUUCAAAGUAGUUUAUUAAGAGAGUUGCACCCUUCCCAGUUAAAAAUUCCCCAGUUAAAAAUCACUAACUUGCCCCUUUCAAACUUCAAACCACCGGUACACCAUAAGAG
rnacentral:lncRNA from 13 species